rnacentral:rRNA from 1 species
UACGGGGGGGGUAAGCGUUGUUCGGAAUUACUGGGCGUAAAGGGCUCGUAGGCGGCCAACUAAGUCAUACGUGAAAUCCCUCAGCUUAACUGGGGAACUGCGUGUGAUACUGGAUGGCUUGGAUUUGGGAGAGGGAUGCGGAAUUCCAGGUGUAGCGGUGAAAUGCGUAGAUAUCUGGAGGAACACCGGUGGCGAAGGCGGCAUCCUGGACCAAUAUUGACGCUGAGGAGUGAAAGCUAGGGGAGCAAACGGG